UUAUCCAUCUUACCAGGUGCGUUCGCGGCCCUCGAGGGUUCUCUCUCGGGUGGUAGGGGUAACACCCUCACGCGUCGCAUUUCUGAAUCCUUUUUUUACGAGCACCUUUCGUUCUCCUUCGGUGGGGCAACCUGCCGCUGGAACUUAACAAAACCUUUUUUUGCAUCUAGCAUUACCUGUUCUGAUACAAACAAUCGUUACAACUUUCAACAAUGGAUCUCUUGGCUCUGGCAUCGAUGAAGAACGCAGCGAAAUGCGAUAAGUAGUGUGAAUUGCAGAAUUCAGUGAAUCAUCGAAUCUUUGAACGCACAUUGCGCCCCUUGGUAUUCCAUGGGGCAUGCCUGUUCGAGCGUCAUCUACACCCUCAAGCUCUGCUUGGUGUUGGGCGUCUGUCCCGCCUCUGUGCGUGGACUCGCCCCAAAUGCAUUGGCAGCGGUCCUUGCCUCCUCUCGCGCAGCACAAUUGCGUUUCUUGAGGUGUGCGGCUCGCAUCCACAAAGCAACCAUCGUCUUUGACCUCGGAUCAGGUAGGGAUACCCGCUGAACUUAAGCAUAUCAAUAAGCGGAGGAAAAGAAACCAACAGGGAUUGCCCUAGUAACGGCGAGUGAAGCGGCAACAGCUCAAAUUUGAAAUCUGGCUCUCUUUGGGGGUCCGAGUUGUAAUUUGCAGAGGAUGCUUUGGUAUUGUCGGCGGUCUAAGUUCCUUGGAACAGGACAUCACAGAGGGUGAGAAUCCCGUACGUGGUCGCCUGCCUUUACCGUGUAAAGCUCCUUCGACGAGUCGAGUUGUUUGGGAAUGCAGCUCUAAAUGGGAGGUAAAUUUCUUCUAAAGCUAAAUACCGGCCAGAGACCGAUAGCGCACAAGUAGAGUGAUCGAAAGAUGAAAAGUACUUUGGAAAGAGAGUCAAAAAGCACGUGAAAUUGUUGAAAGGGAAGCGCUUGCAGCCAGACUUGCCCGCAGUUGCUCACCUAGGCUUUUGCCUGGGGCAUUCUUCUGCGGGCAGGCCAGCAUCAGUUUGGGCGGUUGGAUAAAGGCCUCUGUCACGUAUCUCCCUUCGGGGUGACCUUAUAGGGGAGGCGUAAUGCAACCAGCCCGGACUGAGGUCCGC
rnacentral:rRNA from 1 species